AGAGCAUUGACCGAGAGGCCGAUGGUAGCGGGUUGCUAACCCGUAGGGUGGUAACGCCCCGUAGGUUCGAAUCCUACAUGCUCUGCCA
rnacentral:tRNA from 1 species